GCUUAACGCGAAGAACCUUACCACCUUUUGACAUGCCUGGACCGCCACAGAGAUGUGGCUUUCCCUUCGGGGACUGGGACACAGGUGCUGCAUGGCUGUCGUCAGCUCGUGUCGUGAGAUGUUGGGUUAAGUCCCGCAACGAGCGCAACCCUCGCCAUUAGUUGCCAUCAUUCAGUUGGGAACUCUAAUGGGACUGCCGGUGCUAAGCCGGAGGAAGGUGGGGAUGACGUCAAGUCCUCAUGGCCCUUACAGGGUGGGCUACACACGUGCUACAAUGGCGACUACAGAGGGUUAAUCCUUAAAAGUCGUCUCAGUUCGGAUUGUCCUCUGCAACUCGAGGGCAUGAAGUUGGAGUUGCUGGUAAUCGUGAAUCAGCAUGUCACGGUGAAUACGUUCCCGGGUCUUGUACACACCG
rnacentral:rRNA from 1 species